UUGAACGCUGGCGGCAGGCCUAACACAUGCAAGUCGAACGGUAACAGGAAGCAGCUUGCUGCUUUGCUGACGAGUGGCGGACGGGUGAGUAAUGUCUGGGAAACUGCCCGAUGGAGGGGGAUAACUACUGGAAACGGUAGCUAAUACCGCAUAACGUCGCAAGACCAAAGAGGGGGACCUUAGGGCCUCUUGCCAUCGGAUGUGCCCAGAUGGGAUUAGCUAGUAGGUGGGGUAAUGGCUCACCUAGGCGACGAUCCCUAGCUGGUCUGAGAGGAUGACCAGCCACACUGGAACUGAGACACGGUCCAGACUCCUACGGGAGGCAGCAGUGGGGAAUAUUGCACAAUGGGCGCAAGCCUGAUGCAGCCAUGCCGCGUGUAUGAAGAAGGCCUUCGGGUUGUAAAGUACUUUCAGCGGGGAGGAAGGGAGUAAAGUUAAUACCUUUGCUCAUUGACGUUACCCGCAGAAGAAGCACCGGCUAACUCCGUGCCAGCAGCCGCGGUAAUACGGAGGGUGCAAGCGUUAAUCGGAAUUACUGGGCGUAAAGCGCACGCAGGCGGUUUGUUAAGUCAGAUGUGAAAUCCCCGGGCUCAACCUGGGAACUGCAUCUGAUACUGGCAAGCUUGAGUCUCGUAGAGGGGGGUAGAAUUCCAGGUGUAGCGGUGAAAUGCGUAGAGAUCUGGAGGAAUACCGGUGGCGAAGGCGGCCCCCUGGACGAAGACUGACGCUCAGGUGCGAAAGCGUGGGGAGCAAACAGGAUUAGAUACCCUGGUAGUCCACGCCGUAAACGAUGUCGACUUGGAGGUUGUGCCCUUGAGGCGUGGCUUCCGGAGCUAACGCGUUAAGUCGACCGCCUGGGGAGUACGGCCGCAAGGUUAAAACUCAAAUGAAUUGACGGGGGCCCGCACAAGCGGUGGAGCAUGUGGUUUAAUUCGAUGCAACGCGAAGAACCUUACCUGGUCUUGACAUCCACGGAAGUUUUCAGAGAUGAGAAUGUGCCUUCGGGAACCGUGAGACAGGUGCUGCAUGGCUGUCGUCAGCUCGUGUUGUGAAAUGUUGGGUUAAGUCCCGCAACGAGCGCAACCCUUAUCCUUUGUUGCCAGCGGUCCGGCCGGGAACUCAAAGGAGACUGCCAGUGAUAAACUGGAGGAAGGUGGGGAUGACGUCAAAUCAUCAUGCCCCUUAUGACCUGGGCUACACACGUGCUACAAUGGUCGGUACAACGAGUUGCGAGCCGGUGACGGCAAGCUAAUCUCUGAAAGCCGAUCUCAGUUCGGAUUGGAGGCUGCAACUCGCCUCCAUGAAGUCGGAAUCGCUAGUAAUCGUGGAUCAGAAUGCCACGGUGAAUACGUUCCCGGGCCUUGUACACACCGCCCGUCACACCAUGGGAGUGGGUUGCAAAAGAAGUAGGUAGCUUAACCUUCGGGAGGGCGCUUACCACUUUGUGAUUCAUGACUGGGGUG
rnacentral:rRNA from 1 species